rnacentral:rRNA from 1 species
GCUCUUUUAGAGUCCGAGUUGUAAUUUGCAGAGGGCGCUUUGGCUUUGGCAGCGGUCCAAGUUCCUUGGAACAGGACGUCACAGAGGGUGAGAAUCCCGUACGUGGUCGCUGGCUAUUGCCGUGUAAAGCCCCUUCNNCGAGUCGAGUUGUUUGGGAAUGCAGCUCUAAAUGGGAGGUACAUUUCUUCUAAAGCUAAAUAUUGGCCAGAGACCGAUAGCGCACAAGUAGAGUGAUCGAAAGAUGAAAAGCACUUUGGAAAGAGAGUCAAACAGCACGUGAAAUUGUUGAAAGGGAAGCGCUUGCAGCCAGACUUGCUUGCAGUUGCUCAUCCGGGCUUUUGCCCGGUGCACUCUUCUGCAGGCAGGCCAGCAUCAGUUUGGGCGGUAGGAUAAAGGUCUCUGUCACGUACCUCUCUUCGGGGAGGCCUUAUAGGGGAGGCGACAUACUACCAGCCUGGACUGAGGUCCGCGCAUCUGCUAGGAUGCUGGCGUAAUGGCUGUAAGCGGCCCGUCUUGAAACACGGACCAAGGAGUCUAACAUCUAUGCGAGUGUUUGGGUGUCAAGCCCGAGCGCGUAAUGAAAGUGAACGGAGGUAGGAACCCGCAAGGGUGCACUAUCGACCGAUCCUGAUGUCUUCGGAAGGAUUUGAGUAAGAGCAUGGCUGUUGGGACCCGAAAGAUGGUGAACUAUGCUUGAAUAGGGUGAAGCCAGAGGAAACUCUGGUGGAGGCUCGCAGCGGUUCUGACGUGCAAAUCGAUCGUCAAAUUUGGGCAUANGGGCGAAAGACUAAUCGAACUAUCUAGUAGCUGGUUCCUGCCGAAGUUUCCCUCAGGAUAGCAGUAACGUAUUCAGUUUUAUGAGGUAAAGCGAAUGAUUAGAGGCCUGGGGGCUGAAACAGCCUUCACCUAUUCUCAAACUUUAA